rnacentral:rRNA from 1 species
CGGGACGGGUGAGUAAUGUCUGGGAAACGUGCCUGAUGAGGGGGAGUAACUACUGGAAACGGUAGCUAAUACCGCAUAACGUCGCAAGACCAAAGAGGGGGACCUUCGGGCCUCUUGCCAUCGGAUGUGCCCAGAUGGGAUUAGCUAGUAGGUGGGGUAACGGCUCACCUAGGCGACGAUCCCUAGCUGGUCUGAGAGGAUGGCCAGCCACACUGGAACUGAGACACGGUCCAG